rnacentral:miRNA from 1 species
UGAGAUGGUGUCUGUUGAAGG